ACCCCAAGACUUUUGUCGAAAGGGAUUGUGGACUUGGACGCCGUCGUGUUACUACGACUCGUCUCAAAUGCAUGAGUGUACCCUGCGUCCGCAGCGUAUUCGGUGUGAUAAGCAUCUUCACCGGAGUCUAGCCCUUCUGGGGCGCGCUUGCAAAUGUGGGCUCUAUGCUGCAAACCGUCUUUGGACAAUACACUUGACAAUUUGACCUCAAAUCGGGCGGGACUACCCGCUGAACUUAAGCAUAUCAAUAAGCGGAGGAAAAGAAACUAACAAGGAUUCCCCUAGUAACGGCGAGUGAAGAGGGAAAAGCUCAAAUUUUAAAUCCGAUACCUUUGGUGUCCGAGUUGUAAUCUAGAGAAGUGUUUUCCGUGUUGGACCGUGCACAAGUUCCCUGGAACGGGGCGUCAUAGAGGGUGAGAAUCCCGUAUAUGGCACGGACUCCCAAUGCUCUGUGAUACACUCUCGACGAGUCGAGUUGUUUGGGAAUGCAGCUCAAAAUGGGUGGUAAAUUCCAUCUAAAGCUAAAUAUUGGCGAGAGACCGAUAGCGAACAAGUACCGUGAGGGAAAGAUGAAAAGCACUUUGGAAAGAGAGUGAAACAGUACGUGAAAUUGUUGAAAGGGAAGCGUUUGAAGUCAGUCGCGCUUGUCGGAACUCAGCCUGGCUUCUGCCUGGUGUACUUUCUGGUGAGCGGGUCAGCGUCAGUUUUGGUCGAGGGAGAAAGGCAUUGGGAAUGUGGCAGUCUUCGGGCUGUGUUAUAGCCCUUUGUUGUAUGCCUCGACUGGGAUUGAGGACUGCAGCGCGCCUUUAUGGCCGGGGUUCGCGCCCUCGGUACGCGCUUAGGAUGCUGGCAUAAUGGCUUUAAGCGACC
rnacentral:rRNA from 1 species